UGAGGAAUAUUGGUAAUGAGAUCUGGAGGAGUCUGAACCAGCCAUGCCCGCGUGCAGGACGACGCAUCUAUGGUGUGUAAACUGCUUUUAUACGGGAAGAAACCUCUCUACGCGUAGAGACUUGACGGUACCGUAAGAAUAAGGAUCGGCUAACUCCGUGCCAGCAGCCGCGGUAAUACGGAGGAUUCGAGCGUUAUCCGGAAUCAUUGGGUUUAAAGGGUCCGUAGGCGGGCUGUUAAGUCAGGGGUGAAAGUUUUCGGCUUAACCGAAAAAUUGCCUUUGAUACUGAUAGUCUUGAAUAUUUGUGAAGUAACUAGAAUAUGUGGUGUAGCGGUGAAAUGCAUAGAUAUCACAUGGAAUACCGAUUGCGAAGGCAGGUUACUAACAGAUUAUUGACGCUGAUGGACGAAAGCGUGGGUAGCGAACAGGAUUAGAUACCCUGGUAGUCCACGCCGUAAACGAUGGAUACUAGCUGUUUGGACAGAUUGAUGUUUGAGUGGCUAAGCGAAAGUGAUAAGUAUCCCACCUGGGGAGUACGUUCGCAGGAAUGAAACU
rnacentral:rRNA from 1 species